GUAUAGACCCGAAACCCGGUGAUCUAGCCAUGGGCAGGUUGAAGGUUGGGUAACACUAACUGGAGGACCGAACCGACUAAUGUUGAAAAAUUAGCGGAUGACCUGUGGCUGGGGGUGAAAGGCCAAUCAAACCGGGAGAUAGCUGGUUCUCCCCGAAAGCUAUUUAGGUAGCGCCUCGUGAAUUCAUCUCCGGGGGUAGAGCACUGUUUCGGCUAGGGGGCCAUCCCGGCUUACCAACCCGAUGCAAACUGCGAAUACCGGAGAAUGUUAUCACGGGAGACACACGGCGGGUGCUAACGUCCGUCGUGAAGAGGGAAACAACCCAGACCGCCAGCUAAGGUCCCAAAGUCAUGGUUAAGUGGGAAACGAUGUGGGAAGGCCCAGACAGCCAGGAUGUUGGCUUAGAAGCAGCCAUCAUUUAAAGAAAGCGUAAUAGCUCACUGGUCGAGUCGGCCUGCGCGGAAGAUGUAACGGGGCUAAACCAUGCACCGAAGCUGCGGCAGCGACACUGUGUGUUGUUGGGUAGGGGAGCGUUCUGUAAGCCUGUGAAGGUGUGUCGUGAGGCAUGCUGGAGGUAUCAGAAGUGCGAAUGCUGACAUAAGUAACGAUAAAGCGGGUGAAAAGCCCGCUCGCCGGAAGACCAAGGGUUCCUGUCCAACGUUAAUCGGGGCAGGGUGAGUCGACCCCUAAGGCGAGGCCGAAAGGCGUAGUCGAUGGGAAACGGGUUAAUAUUCCCGUACUUGGUGUUACUGCGAAGGGGGGACGGAGAAGGCUAUGUUGGCCGGGCGACGGUUGUCCCGGUUUAAGCGUGUAGGUGUGUGUUCCAGGUAAAUCCGGUUCACUUUAACACUGAGGCGUGACGACGAGGCACUACGGUGCUGAAGCAACAAAUGCCCUGCUUCCAGGAAAAGCCUCUAAGCAUCAGGUAACAUCAAAUCGUACCCCAAACCGACACAGGUGGUCAGGUAGAGAAUACCAAGGCGCUUGAGAGAACUCGGGUGAAGGAACUAGGCAAAAUGGUGCCGUAACUUCGGGAGAAGGCACGCUGACACGUAGGUGAAGUGAUUUACUCAUGGAGCUGAAGUCAGUCGAAGAUACCAGCUGGCUGCAACUGUUUAUUAAAAACACAGCACUGUGCAAACACGAAAGUGGACGUAUACGGUGUGACGCCUGCCCGGUGCCGGAAGGUUAAUUGAUGGGGUCAGCGCAAGCGAAGCUCCUGAUCGAAGCCCCGGUAAACGGCGGCCGUAACUAUAACGGUCCUAAGGUAGCGAAAUUCCUUGUCGGGUAAGUUCCGACCUGCACGAAUGGCGUAAUGAUGGCCAGGCUGUCUCCACCCGAGACUCAGUGAAAUUGAACUCGCUGUGAAGAUGCAGUGUACCCGCGGCAAGACGGAAAGACCCCGUGAACCUUUACUAUAGCUUGACACUGAACAUUGAGCCUUGAUGUGUAGGAUAGGUGGGAGGCUUUGAAGUGUGGACGCCAGUCUGCAUGGAGCCGACCUUGAAAUACCACCCUUUAAUGUUUGAUGUUCUAACGUGGACCCGUUACCCGGGUUGCGGACAGUGUCUGGUGGGUAGUUUGACUGGGGCGGUCUCCUCCUAAAGAGUAACGGAGGAGCACGAAGGUUGGCUAAUCCUGGUCGGACAUCAGGAGGUUAGUGCAAUGGCAUAAGCCAGCUUGACUGCGAGCGUGACGGCGCGAGCAGGUGCGAAAGCAGGUCAUAGUGAUCCGGUGGUUCUGAAUGGAAGGGCCAUCGCUCAACGGAUAAAAGGUACUCCGGGGAUAACAGGCUGAUACCGCCCAAGAGUUCAUAUCGACGGCGGUGUUUGGCACCUCGAUGUCGGCUCAUCACAUCCUGGGGCUGAAGUAGGUCCCAAGGGUAUGGCUGUUCGCCAUUUAAAGUGGUACGCGAGCUGGGUUUAGAACGUCGUGAGACAGUUCGGUCCCUAUCUGCCGUGGGCGCUGGAGAACUGAGGGGGGCUGCUCCUAGUACGAGAGGACCGGAGUGGACGCAUCACUGGUGUUCGGGUUGUCAUGCCAAUGGCACUGCCCGGUAGCUAAAUGCGGAAGAGAUAAGUGCUGAAAGCAUCUAAGCACGAAACUUGCCCCGAGAUGAGUUCUCCCUGAGACUUAAAGUCU
rnacentral:rRNA from 1 species